GAAGAGCCUGUAAAGGUCAGGAAGCAGUAGAAAAUACAGGUGAACAUGUACUGAGCUCUACUGAAAACUAUAGUAGAUAGGUUGCUGACUGUGGGAUAUUAAUUAUUACACUGGAAGGCAUUAGUGGAUACCAGAACAUACCAGACUUGAGAUGUUUGAAACCAGUGGAUAUGUUAAAUAAAUGCCUUCAGCUGAGAUACAUGGAGUGAUUUUCGGCAUUGCUCAUGUACCUUGGGCAUGGAAGGUGGGCUUCAAGGUGAAAGUAUAUCUGCUCAGCAUCUUCUCAUCUGUAAGACUUACAUGUGCCACUUGGAAGACAAAAAUGACUUCAGGAAGGAAUGACAGCUAAACACUAACUUUCAAAAAUCAAAGCCUUAAGCCUGCAUUCCAUAUUCUUAUGCUGACAAGUCAUUGACAAGAGUAUCAAGAAAUGGAGGCCACAAGAAACUACCAAAUUCCCUGCAGAAGGAUACCUGGGACAUAAUCAGGAUGAGUGAGUACAGCUGCAGUGUAGGCAUAUGAAGAAAUACUAAGGGAUUCUUAUUAGUAAGCCUUUAAGAAUUGUCACUGCUCAAAACACUUUGUUGACCUCGAUGCAUAAAGCUAUACUACUUUAUCGAUAUGAAGGGGAGGAUUUCACUGUAGUCCAGGCAAAUGCCUUGGAUAGUUUGAAGAAUGAAAAUGAAGAGUGACCAUAUCUUCUGGGGUCAACCUGAGACUGUAUUUGUGAUGCUUUCUGAAUUGGCUAUAAGCACUCUUUCUUGGUAGAUCAGCUUAAUAGUGAAGAGGUGAUAGGUGGAGACUCCAAUUUUUUUAUGGCUUGGCAAGGAAGGCCCCAAAAAUGGCUAAGGGCAACAAAUGUGAGACGAGGAAAAGCUUCGCCUUUGAUUCGUGCUUAUUGUAAAAAGAUUAUUUAUGCGCUAAUAAGCAUGGACUAAUUUAUGGACUAAUUCAUCAGUACCUGAUGAGUGACAGCCACUUGACUCGUAUGAUUUCUGUCCUUUAAUGUGAUCCAUGAAUG
rnacentral:lncRNA from 1 species